rnacentral:rRNA from 1 species
CUAGCUGUAAACGAUGGAUACUAGGCGUUGAGAGUAUCGACCCUCUCAGUGUCGUAGCUAACGCGUUAAGUAUCCCGCCUGGGGAGUACGCGCGCAAGCGUGAAACUCAAAGGAAUUGACGGGGGCCCGCACAAGCGGUGGAGUAUGUGGUUUAAUUCGAUGCAACGCGAAGAGCCUUACCAGGGCUUGACAUGUCCGGGACCCUGCCCAAAGGCGGGGGUGCCUACGGGAACCGGAACACAGGUGGUGC